rnacentral:rRNA from 1 species
UACCCGCAGCACAAGUGGUGGUCAUUAUUAUUGGGCCUAAAGCGUCCGUAGCUGGCCUGUUAGAUGCCUGGGUAAAUCGAAGCGCUCAACGUUUCGAAUUCCGGGUAGACCGGCAGGCUCGAGACCGGGAGAGGCGUGAGCUACUCGGGGGGUAGGGGUAAAAUCCUGUAAUCCUCCGGGGAGGACCAGUGGCGAAGGCGUCACGCUAGAACGGCUCUGACAGUGAGGGACGAAGCCCUGGGGCGCAAACCGG